CCAUUUAGAGGAAGUAAAAGUCGUAACAAGGUCUCCGUAGGUGAACCUGCGGAGGGAUCAUUAACACAACACGUGACACUGCUCUCGGGCAGUGCGCCACUGUUAACACCCAUCUAACGUGAACUACUAUGACCCUUUUUCUUUCUACUCAGCUUGCUGUGUAGAUUUUCAUUGUUUGAAAUGAAACCCUUUCCAAUGUUUUACACUUGUAACUGUGACUGGUGGUGAUGUUAGUUGUGUUCUUUGAACUCGACUGGUGUCCCCCUUUGUAACUAUUACGAACUAUUAUAGAGUACAACUCUUAGCAACGGAUAUCUUGGUUCUC
rnacentral:misc_RNA from 1 species